UACGUAGGGUGCAAGCGUUAAUCGGAAUUACUGGGCGUAAAGCGUGCGCAGGCGGUUAUAUAAGACAGAUGUGAAAUCCCCGGGCUCAACCUGGGAACUGCAUUUGUGACUGUAUAGCUAGAGUACGGUAGAGGGGGAUGGAAUUCCGCGUGUAGCAGUGAAAUGCGUAGAUAUGCGGAGGAACAUCGAUGGCGAAGGCAAUCCCCUGGACCUGUACUGACGCUCAUGCACGAAAGCGUGGGGAGCAAACAGG
rnacentral:rRNA from 1 species